GCCAGUGUGGGCUAGUGGUCUGAGCACUCAGCUAUGACUCUAGAGACCAGGGUUUGAAUCCCAGCUCAGCCA